UACCGGCGCCGGUGCGCCUCCUUCUCAAGGGUUUUGCGCGGAGCUUGCUAGCCACCCAUGGACGUGGACGGAGACAUCCUCGGCCUCAUCCUCGAGCGGAUCGAUUCGCACGUCUCCCUCAUCCGCACCGCGGCGGUGUGCAAGCGAUGGCGCCGCGUCAUCGCCGACGCCGCCUUCCUCUGCCGCUUCCGCUCCCUCCACGCGCCUGCCGUCGCCGGCGACUACCGCAACUACUCCCCCUUGCCCUAUUUACUGAUGGGAAUAGGAGUAGCGCCAACAACAAGCGGCCGCACCGGCCCGUUGUUUCUCCCCUCGUCGCCAUCGAUGGACGCUAGCCACUUCUCCCUCGAUUUCCUCCCGGACGGCGCCGAGUCUUGGACCGUUGUGGAUAGCCGCGGCAGCCUCCUGCUCAUGGAUCGUGCGGGCGACGCUAACGUUCCCUUCGACUUCCCGGACAGGGUCAUCUGCGAGCCCCUGACGCGGCGCUACAAGAGGGUCUCUCCACCGGCAGACUUCGACGAAAGUUGUCACUUCUGGGCAUCCUUCCUCGUCGACGGCGACGCCGACCAGGCAGGCGGUCGCAUCGGUCUGUCCAACUUCAGGAUGUUAUGGAUGCUCUACCGCAAUGGUGUCACACACGCCGCUGUGUUCACGGCAGGCGGCGAGUCGGGCUGCUUGUGGAGCAACAAGACCAUCGACCACAUCAUGCCAAGGCUCGAGCUCACGCGUCUCUUGGGCCGUGCCGGGGGCUCUUGGUACUUCCAUGCCGAAGGCAGGACACUGGUCAUGCUUGACGGAAGCACCAGCGAGUUCUCCUCCUCCAUGUUGCCGGCCAUUGAGAAUUGGGAUUUCCACACAUGGAGUCAUAACUUCUUCAUCACUGACGGCCGUGAUGGUAAGCCACGCAUCUUCACUUUGUUUGACAACGACAUGAAGGUGUUCGCAAGGCUCGACAGCGACGAGUGGGUGCUGGUGAAGAGGGUCCUGCUGUCUGAGGCAACCCACGGCCUGCCAGGGUACCAGCCAUUCUUCUUCAGCCAUCCCCUGAACAUUUUGACGAGGGGUGCAGGAUUUGUUAUCCUGUCGCCAUGUCUUGGAGCACCAUGGCCCUUCUCUGUCGACCUCGAGACAGUGGAGGUGGCACCCGCGUCGGCGGACAUGGGCGAUAUGGUUUUUCAGUGUGAGCUCCCAUGGCCACCUGCUCUGCACACCUGCUUUGAUAGAUGAUGCACAGCACUGGUAUAUAUACAUACGCUUCAGUGAUUUUAUGGUUUUAAUUAGCAAAGGCAAGGUAUUUAUUUCUAUUUAUGAUUCAUCGUCUCCGAUGAAGGAUGGGGCAGUAUCUGGUUUAGAAGAUUGACGUGGGGUGGAACUUUUGUUAUGGCUUCGUAAAGCUAACAACUAGCAAUAAGGGUUUUACAGUUAAGUCAUUGUACAGGAAUUUGAAAGCUCAGCUACCAAUUUAUAGAUAAUCUUUCUAAAUAACAGUAUUCUCACUAAUGUUAAUCUUGCAAGGAGAGGGUGGCAAGGGGAAAAUGCAUGUUUUGCUUGGCAGAUAAAACCAUAUACCAUCUGUUUUCUACUUGUCCCAUUGGCAGAUCUGUGUAGAAUGUAGUAACGUAGUGAAGUGUGCUUUUGGGUUUAGAGCUGUGCCGACGAAUGUGCAUCAGUUAUUCAGUUCAUGGUUACAACUGAAAGAGAACCCAAGCGUUUGGUCAACAAGAGACGACUGGGAGCAGGAUCGACGAAUUUUGUUGCGCCUUCGCUCGCUGUCUGAGAGUUUCGUAAAUAUUGGCGUAAGAAUGGUAUCUGAACCUGAACUUGCUACAGGGUUUCAUCCCUUGAUCAUUUACCUGAUGUAUUGAACC